AUUUUGAGGAAAAAAUAAUUUAAGUCUUAUAAAAUUUUGGUUAGGGUCUUCAGGGGAAGAUUUAUAGGAUUUAAUCGAGUGAAUAUUAAAUCUGACCCAUAGUUCUGUUGGCAUCUUGCCUUGGGCCAGAGAUGCUGUGCAAAUCCCUAACGGUGCUUGAAACCUGCUAAAGGUUUUGGGAAAUUAAUUCUCAUUUCUUUUUGAAAGAUAAGUCAUGCCUGG
rnacentral:misc_RNA from 1 species